rnacentral:rRNA from 1 species
AACGAACGCUGGCGGCAGGCCUAACACAUGCAAGUCGAACGACACCUUCGGGUCUAGUGGCGCACGGGGGCGUAACGCGGGGGAACCUGCCCGUAGGGUCGGAAUAACUCCCCGAAAGGGGGGCUAAUACCGGGUAAGUUCUGCGGACCCAAGAUUGAUCCACUUGGGAUGGGCCCGCGUUGGAUUAGCUGGUGGGUAGGGUAAAAGCCUCCCACGGCUACGAUCCAUAGCUGGUCUGAGGGGCUGAUCCGCCACUCUGGGACGGAGGCACGGCCGAGACUCCUGCGGGAAGGAGCAGUGGGGAAUAUUGCCCAAUGGGCGGAAGCCUGAACCAGCCCUGCCGCGUGAGUGAUGAAGUCCUUAGGGUUGUAAAGCUCUUUUACCCGGGAUGAUAAUGACAGUACCGGAAGAAUAAGCUCCGGCUAACUCCGUG